ACACGACUACAUUAGAUACCCGGGUAGUCCCAGCCCUAAACGAUGCGCGUUAGGUGUAUCGGUGACCACGAGUCACCGAGGUGCCGAAGGGAAACCGUGAAACGUGCCGCCUGGGAAGUACGGUCGCAAGGCUGAAACUUAAAGGAAUUGGCGGGGAGCACAACAACGGGUGGAGCUUGCGGUUUAAUUGGAUUCAACGCCGGAAAUCUUACCGGGACCGACAGCAACAUGAAGGCCAAGCUGAAGACUUUGCCGGAUUAGCUG
rnacentral:rRNA from 1 species